AAGAAAAAUUCUCAGGAUACAACAAAUAAUUGGUUCAAGCUUGAAAAAAAGUUAUGUUUAAAGAGACAGGAAGGAAAUGGUUCUCAAAUAGUGGUGGAUGACUGGAAGUGACUGAGUAAUCUGGUUGUUAGUGCUGCGUCAGUAGGGAGGUUUGAAAGAUUAGAGAAAUGUACGGACGGGGAUGACGGGUGGAAACUGGCAGGCUCUCACUACAGGGACUGGCACGUGUUGGCCUGGUGGCUUCCUGCGCCAACCCUUGUGUUCUUGUGCUCCGGGGCCAGUUCUGGGCAGCUUGCAUUUCAGUCGGCAGUGUGGCGCAGCAUUGAAGGCUGUUACAAAGAUGCACAGCGUCCAAAGGGCGAGUGUAGUCGUGCACGUUUGGCCAGCCACUAACCCUUUGACUGCCACUUGGUACACCUUUCCCUCAUCACCAAUCACUGAGACACCUUUACUUGCUCCACAGGCACAUCCAGUCUUUGAACUGGGAAGAAAUUGCAAAAGAUAUUCUUGCGCUGCUGGUGGUGCUGCUGACUGUGUUGUGUUGCAGGGAAGGGGUCCAGGGACAGGCAGGUUGGUCACACUUAACCCUCCCUGUGUGAAUGCAUGUUGCUUCUCACCAAACACUUUUCUGGCCUGUAAAUCUUGAGUGUUUCAUCCCUGACCACUUCCCCCGUGGCUUGUGUGCUGUGCUUGUAAGGCUUGCUGGGGCACCACCACUGGCUGCCGUCCCAACACUGACACCUCUGCAGGUGAACACCACCACCAAGGUCUAUACAGGGUGUCUCAAGAGGAAAGGAACACCAACACUAAUAACACAGUCUUCUGAUGCCUAACACAACACUGUCUUCCAUUAAGAGAUGAGUGAACCAAACAUCAGUGGUCAUACAGCUUUUAUAAAUGCAGAGGAAAGGGAGUUAUGAAAAGAGAGGGGGGGGGGUGUCACAGGGGAGUGAGAAGGCAGCUGUGUUGAAGGAAGAGUAUUAAAGCAAACUGAAAAUGAGAAAACGGAUACUGGCUUAAACUGUAGCAUUAGAAGACAGCUAAAUCUUUGAAUCCCUUGUUGUUUACCUGAUCCUCCAAACUCUUGCCUGAACAAAAGACAAAAGCAAUCCAAAGUGAGAAGAAUAAAGAAAAAAGAAGAAAAACAGAAAAGACAAAAUAGAUACAGGCUUAAACUGUAGCAUUAGAAGACAAGCCUGCUCAUCCCUUCUCCUGGCUUUAGCCUCUACUGUUCUUAUCCUUGCUUUAACUAACAAUCUACUCCCCCAGUCUCCUACAUGCCUCAGGUCUUUCUCUGCAUUCCUGACUGCCAUCUGACCCUGCCAUUCUCUAUCUUCUUCCUCACCAUCCUGUCGCCUAACUUCUGCCGUUCUUCCUUUGUGUUCUUCGUUUCCACUGUUCCAUUUCUUUUUUUUUUUUUUUUUUUCCAAGAUGAGGUUCCCUCUGCUCUAAAUAUCUUUUCAAGCCAUCUCUCCUCGCCGAGUCCUUCUAUCUUCCUAAGUAAAUUAAGUUUUCCUUUCUCAACCCUGUCCCUGAAUGUGCUUCAUCACAUCUCACCUCAGAUUGCCUCUACUGCUGUACUGUUUGGGACCCCUAAACUCCACCUGCUUGUAAUGUUCGUGAUCUCUCUAACUUCAUGAGAUCUCCCUCCCGGUAAUGACACCGCCGUGUGCACAGCGCCUCGCCUCCUGCUCCUCCAACCCAGCGCACUGGUCACCACAUUGGUAUUGCAAGGUUUCUGAGUGAUAAAGUGGGUCUACCUGUCACAUGAGUUACUCCAGAGAUGUUUCAAAGUUUAUAAGUAGGUUUUACAAGGGUUAUAAGUGGGUAUUACAAAAUCUUAGUGGUAUUAGUAGUACUAGUGGUAUUAGCUACAGAGGCAAGACGAGGUGUGAAGUGGUUGUACCUGUCAUGGCAGCCACUACAGGGUUAUUACAAGGUCAAUAAGUGUGCUAUACAAGGGUUAAGUAGUUUUACUCGCAAUAUUUCCCGACCAAUCAAAGGCUACAACGAAGCUGCCAAGUGGUUCUGUCUGUCAUUAGCCACAACAGGCAUUUCAGACUGGUUGUGGUUCCAGCUGCUGCAUUACAAGGUUAACAUAACAGCGUAGGCAAUGGUCGGUAUUACAGCCGUCAUGUUGGUCACCACAGAGAUAUUGCAAGAUAUAUACGUGGUUGAGUGGUGCUGUAUUAGUCAGGGGAAGUGGGGAUGUGUUUAACGAAGCUUUUAAGUGGUUUCACCUGUCAGGUUAGCCGCCACAGAUGUAAUUUACACUGUGGUUAAGUAAUUACAUCUGCCGUAUCAGUUAUCACAGGUAUUUGAAGGUUUAUAAGCAAUUACACUCGUCAUACUAAUGAUGAGCUCAGGUGUUACGAGGUUCAUGAGUGACAAGAUGGUUCCCUCUGCCUCGCCAGACUCGCAGCACCCACCCCGCCUCUCUGCUUCAGUCACCAGCCUGCCCCUCCCUCCCUCCUUGCCUUCCUCCCACCCCCUGGACAGGCAGCGUGCAGGCUUGGUAGACACAGAUGAAGCAUUCUUUCCCCAGCACUUGCCUUCACACCCACGGCCACGCGCCCCUCCGUCACAGCGUUAACCACCCAACAAGCACCGCAUCACAGCCAGGCGGGGUACAACUGCCAUCAUGAUAGUUUGCAUCAACGACCCAACAAUACCCAAUUAUCUGCCACUACAGACGAGUAAUGUGUGCGUGGCUUCAUUAUCUUGUACAGAGAGAGAGAGAGAGAGAGAGAGAGAGAGAGUUUGUUAAUUUAUUGCGCCAGUCUACAGAAAACACCAUACAAAACUACUCCUGACAGUAUAAAUUGAUAAUUCAGAUAAUGACAUGAUGAAGGCAAGCAGGUUAUGGUCCGGCAGCGUAUCAAAGGGAGUGACAGCAGACAUAAAUGAAUUAACGGUGCUGGUUUGGCUUGUUAACUACCUGUCAUGAAUUAACGGUGCUAGUUUGGCUUGUUAACUACGUCAUGAAUUAACGGUGCUACUUCGGCUUGUUAACUUCCUGUCAUGAAUUAACGGUGCUGGUUUGGCUUGUUAACUACCUGUCAUGAAUUAACGGUGCUACUUCGGCUUGUUAACUACUUGUCAUGAAUUAACGGUGCUGGUUUGGCUUGUUAACUACCUGUCAUGAAUUAACGGUGCUGGUUUGGCUUGUUAACUACCUGUCAUGAAUUAACGGUGCUAGUUUGGCUUGUUAACUACCUGUCAUGAAUCAUCUUUGGUAUGUGAUCUACACUUAAUAUUGCGAUCUGUGUGUUAUGAACCUUUUGUAUGCAAUGUACACUUUAUAUUGUGAUCUACAACAAGAAAGGUUGUACUCAUCAAGAACAAGGAAAACACUUGUUCUGGUUUGGAGAGAAAAUGUCUGGUUAGAGUCUGACGCAGGAGUGGAAUGUCUGUUGUAGCGUCGAAGUUCCAAGAAGAGACCGUGAGACACUUCACCCAGUCAUUCAGAGAGAAGUCGCUGAAGGCUCAGUAAUCCAUUCCAAUGACUCGCCAGCUUACUCUAAUUUAAACCAACUCAAAUUUCAUCAUUUUUCCGUAAAUCAUCAUCAAUAUUACGGCGAUUCUAACAUCGGAGGUCGUACUCAAGGAACUGAAAGAUCCUGGCUUGAUGCGAAGAUUCGUAUAUUGAAAAUAAUGUGAGGCAUCGAUCAAAGAACAUUUCAGUCACCGAGACUACUUGUGUUGGCGGAUGAUGACAAAACAAGCUCCUGACGUCUAUGUAGCAUGUUUAGCCCAUGUACUGUACGUGCUGCUCAUCGCUACAAUAUGAAGACAAGAAAAAAAUAAUUACAUUUUCUCUCUAUGCUAUAUAUCAUUCCAGAAUAAAUAUUUGUACAGUGUAGAUACUUUUCCUUGUAGAUAAUAAGCCAAAGUACGGUGAAGAUAUUUUUUUCCCUGUAGAUAACAAGCAUAGCACCGAAUGAACAAUAUAGCACCGAAUUAACAAUAGAGUGAAGCUGGCUUUGAAAGUAGAUAAGACAAGAUAGAACUUGUGAUAUUUUAACUUCAAAAGGCAUCAUAGAACAUAAAUACAUAAGGGAGCAGUUAGCAGCCGCCAAACUGUGGGUGGCGGGUCAUGACGAGCAGGUAGGUGGUCUUCCUGCAGCAGGCAUUGGCAUACGUCAAGGAGAGGCUGUCCACGUGGGAGCAGGUCUCCCACAGCAGGACAGUGCAGGCAGUAGUGUUGCAGGUUACUGGAGUCAGGAGAGUGGCACAGGGACAGGAGGUAUAAUGAAGCUCGUCUGCCAAGCCCGCAACCUGCCACAGGGGUCGGUAGCAGAGUCUCAGCCGCGCCGACACCACACUGUGUUUUCGGACCCACAGGCCCCGACGGCGGUGCUCAAAGCGAUGAUGACGAAAUGCAUCAUGGUGCUGAAUGGUGACGCUGGCCGCCCGCUGGUCAUCCGUCCUGAUGCUGGUCGAGAGUAGAGAAGCUGCUCGGAUCCUGGACUUGAGGCACUGGAGGGAGGGGCUGGGACCAGCGUGAGGGGCAGGCAGUCCACGGCGUCACCAUGAGACAGCGAGACACGUGAGGGAUCCACACAAACUUGAUAUCUAGUGACCAGUCAUGAGCCAGAGCCAGGCCUGUCAAGAUCCUGUUCACCAGGUGACGAGGGGCAGGGUUCGAAGAUGUAAGGGCAUGAAGGGCUGCCUGUGAGUCACAUAUAAUAACCCCGUUUAGGCUGCCCUGACAGAGGGGACACAGCAUCCAAGAUGCCGUGCAGCUCACAGAACGUGGAACUGGAGUGAGUCGGCAGCCGACGCCCAACCCAGCCCACUUCUGGUGGUUCCGUGCCAGGGGAGAAAACUGCACCUCCCGCUGUGCCGUCCAUCUGCACAGACAGACCCAUCCGUGUAUGUGGUGCGGCGAAUCGAUGGUGGAGACUGUCGCUAUGGCGUCCAUUGCUAGGUGUUUCUGCAGGACCGGAGAAAGAGAGAGAGAGAGAGAGAGAGGGCGGGGAUAAGAGCAGGAUGGGGGCAGGGGGAGGGAGACGGGAGUGGGGAGAGAGAGAGAGAGGUGGCUGAGUGAUACACGUCCUGACUGUCCUGCAAAACUAUACCUGCCCGAAUGUCUACUUCGCUCCUGCUGACUUCCCUUUCACUCGUCUCUCCACACAGUCCCGGCACCACCACCACCACCACCACCAUCCACUCUCUUCCUGCCUCCACUCUGACAUCCCUCGUCCCCCCGUCCCCUCAGCAUUAUUCGGGCACUCAAGAGGUUUGUAAUGACAUCAGCGUUUUCAUCCAAGGGUUACGUUAUGUCUGGAUUAAUGCAGUUCAUUAAAUCCAUUGCUAAUCCCUUCAUUGUUUAGAUUGCGGAAUAAAAGAAAGUUUUUGCCCAGAAAUGAACAGUCGCUGUCUUAAGAUGAUCAGGUUGAGGUUAUUUCCACAAAACCCUAGAGGUGGCGUGACCAUUCUGACACAAGCUUGGCCGCGCGCGCGCACACACGCCUUGCCUGCGCUGCACCGAGUCACUGCAAACUUCCGCUUUCAGAAACGCUUAGCUCACUCAACACGACUGUUUUCCAAGGCCACAGAGAUGCCUAGCCGGGUUCUCAACAGUGUUUCUCCUGUUAACAAUGUAGAAAUCUUGUUAAUCUGUCAC